rnacentral:piRNA from 1 species
UGAGUCGAUGGGUGCAGCGAACAAACA